GGCUCAGGAUGAACGCUAGCUACAGGCUUAACACAUGCAAGUCGAGGGGAAACGACAUCGAAAGCUUGCUUUUGAUGGGCGUCGACCGGCGCACGGGUGAGUAACGCGUAUCCAACCUGCCCACCACUUGGGGAUAACCUUGCGAAAGUAAGACUAAUACCCAAUGACGUCUCUAGAAGACAUCUGAAAGAGAUUAAAGAUUUAUCGGUGAUGGAUGGGGAUGCGUCUGAUUAGCUUGUUGGCGGGGUAACGGCCCACCAAGGCGACGAUCAGUAGGGGUUCUGAGAGGAAGGUCCCCCACAUUGGAACUGAGACACGGUCCAAACUCCUACGGGAGGCAGCAGUGAGGAAUAUUGGUCAAUGGGCGAGAGCCUGAACCAGCCAAGUAGCGUGCAGGAUGACGGCCCUAUGGGUUGUAGACUGCUUUUAUAAGGGAAUAAAGUGAGUCUCGUGAGACUUUUUGCAUGUACCUUAUGAAUAAGGACCGGCUAAUUCCGUGCCAGCAGCCGCGGUAAUACGGAAGGUCCGGGCGUUAUCCGGAUUUAUUGGGUUUAAAGGGAGCGUAGGCCGGAGAUUAAGCGUGUUGUGAAAUGUAGAUGCUCAACAUCUGAACUGCAGCGCGAACUGGUUUCCUUGAGUACGCACAAAGUGGGCGGAAUUCGUGGUGUAGCGGUGAAAUGCUUAGAUAUCACGAAGAACUCCGAUUGCGAAGGCAGCUCACUGGAGCGCAACUGACGCUGAAGCUCGAAAGUGCGGGUAUCGAACAGGAUUAGAUACCCUGGUAGUCCGCACGGUAAACGAUGGAUGCCCGCUGUUGGUCUGAAUAGGUCAGCGGCCAAGCGAAAGCAUUAAGCAUCCCACCUGGGGAGUACGCCGGCA
rnacentral:rRNA from 1 species